rnacentral:rRNA from 1 species
AUUGAACGCUGGCGGCAGGCCUAACACAUGCAAGUCGAACGGUAACAGGAAGCAGCUUGCUUCUUUGCUGACGAGUGGCGGACGGGUGAGUAAUGUCUGGGAAACUGCCUGAUGGAGGGGGAUAACUACUGGAAACGGUAGCUAAUACCGCCUAACGUCGCAAGACCAAAGAGGGGGACCUUCGGGCCUCUUGCCUUCGGAUGUGCCCAGAUGGGAUUAGCUAGUAGGUGGGGUAACGGCUCACCUAGGCGACGAUCCCUAGCUGGUCUGAGAGGAUGACCAGCCACACUGGAACUGAGACACGGUCCAGACUCCUACGGGAGGCAGCAGUGGGGAAUAUUGCACAAUGGGCGCAAGCCUGAUGCAGCCAUGCCGCGUGUAUGAAGAAGGCCUUCGGGUUGUAAAGUACUUUCAGCGGGGAGGAAGGGAGUAAAGUUAAUACCUUUGCGCAUUGACGUUACCCGCAGAAGAAGCACCGGCUAACUCCGUG